GGAAGGAUCAUUAACACGUUUUAUCACAAAACAAACCAAACUCUGUGAACUGAGGUGGGCCUCCCUUAACCGGGGGUAAAAAAUUGGUCAAGUUACUUGGUGCUUCUGCGAAAGCAGAGUAUUGUAGUGCUUGAUCAGUUCUGCUUGCCGAACUUUAUUUAACCGAUAUAACCUUGUCAAGGUUGCUACUUGUAGCACCUUUUCAGGUAUAACUUUUAUUUUUCUCUUAUGUGCAUCUGCUGACACCGACACGUGUCGCAGAGUCACUUAAAACAAACUCGAACAACUCUUAGCAACGGAUAUCUUGGUUCCCACAACGAUGAAGAACGCAGCAAACUGCGAUACGUCUUGCGAAUUGCAGAAUUCAGUGAAUCAUCAAAUUUUCGAACGCAUUCGGCGCUCUUGGGUAUUCCUGAGAGCACGUUCCCUUCAGUGUCGCUUUGCGCCCAACUCAGCGGCGUGCUUACUUUACUGUGAGUGCGUGCAGCUGGAGAAUGAGUGUCUCGGUGAAAGCUGAGUCACUUUAAAUGUAACGGAUUGCCCUCGACAUAGAAUGGGCAACGCUUGGUAUUAGGUAAUUGAGUUUCAGGCGUUCUUCGGAACCUUGUUUCUCUUUUGCUUUCAACAUCAAACGUUGUUUCAGUUGUCGUUGGGGAAUCUUAAACCCAAUGAAAUUUUAGUCUAUCGAAAGGUAGGCUAACCUAUUUCCAGCAUCUUAGACCUGAAGUGGAGCGAGGUUACCCGCUGAAUUUAAGCAUAUUAUUAAGCGGAGGAGAAGAAACUAACAAGGAUUCCCCCAGUAACGGCGAGUGAAGCGGGAAUAGCUCACAGUUAAAAUCGGGAUCCAUCUCGGACCUCGAGUUGUAAUCUAAAGACGUGCGUUCUGCGUGCGACCUGGGUAUAACUCCUUUGGAACAGGGGAUCAUAGAGGGUGAGAAUCCCGUCUUUGACCCGGAGUUCGCCGCGUACGAUGCGCGUUCAAAGAGUCGAGUUGCUUGGGACUGCAGCUCUAAAUGGGUGGUAAACUUCAUCUAAAGCUAAAUACGGGUGGGAGACCGAUAGCGAACAAGUAGCGUGAGCGAAAGAUGAAAAGAACUUUGAAAAGAGAGUUAAAAAGUACUUGAAAUUGCUAAGAGGGAAGUUAUGGAAACCAGUCUUUGCUUUGCGUCAUGUAACUAUUCGCUUCAGAAGGGCAGGCGGUGCAGAGUUUAUAGCCUGUAGCUGUUUGCCGGACUGAAGUGUGUAGGUUAGGGCGUGAGGCGAGUCAGAAUCAAUUUGAGGCGCCGUAGAAUACCGGUUGGAAGCUACUGUCUCUGACAAGUUAUAGCCUCCGGAGAUGCGGUGCUUCAGAUUGAGGAAAUGACAAGGCACCUUUAGCCCCGUUUGCCUGCGUUGUUAGUCAGCUUGGACAGCAAAGCUGUGCGGUUGGCGAAGCGGCGUACUGCAGGUGGCAAGCUACGUGUCUUUGCGAUUCUGACGAAAUGGUUUUCAUCGACCCGUCUGGAAACACGGACCAAGGAGUCUAACAUAUAUGCGAGUAUUUGGGUGGUAAACCCUGAUGCGAAAUGAAAGUGAAGGACACCUAGUGUCUGAGGUAGGAACCCGCAAGGGGGCACUAUCGACCGAUCGAUCACUUGUGGUAGAUUUGAGUAAGAGCAUAUCUGUUGGGACCCGAAAGAUGGUGAUCUAUGCCUGAACAGGGUGAAGCCAGGGGAAACUCUGGUGGAAGCUCGUAGCGAUACUGACGUGCAAAUCGUUCGUCUGAUUUGGGUAUAGGGGCGAAAGACUAAUCGAACCAUCUAGUAGCUGGUUCCCUC
rnacentral:misc_RNA from 1 species